GCUUGUUAGACAGCGUGUUAGAUUCAGCGGGGGCAGGAGCCGCUUUUGCUAGCGCCCUCUCCAGAGACGCAGCUACCGCUGCGUUGAUCAUUGCUUGAAGGUAUUAAUUGUGUCCUCCAUUGUGGGCACCAACAGAGACUAACAGGCACAGGUAUAGUUAUGAGAGGUGAGGGACCGUGCGGGAGGGAUUCAGGUGAAAAAACGCUCAGCGGCGUGGUACUGGACUCCUAAUCGCUGGGGUUCACCCAGGGUCACAGGGAACUGCUUUGACAGUUCCUGCUAUGCAGCACUCAAUGGGGGCUCACCCCUAGCCAGGAUAUUGGGGUAAACCCUUCUGGCAGUCCCACUCCCCAGGGGCAAUGACACCAACCUGUGAAGGUCCCAAAUGAAU